AUACGUAGGGUGCGAGCGUUGUCCGGAAUUACUGGGCGUAAAGAGCUCGUAGGUGGUUUGUCGCGUCGUCUGUGAAAUUCCGGGGCUUAACUCCGGGCGUGCAGGCGAUACGGGCAUAACUUGAGUACUGUAGGGGAGACUGGAAUUCCUGGUGUAGCGGUGAAAUGCGCAGAUAUCAGGAGGAACACCGGUGGCGAAGGCGGGUCUCUGGGCAGUAACUGACGCUGAGGAGCGAAAGCAUGGGUAGCGAACAGGAUUAGAUACCCUGGUAGUCCAUGCCGUAAACGGUGGGCGCUAGGUGUAGGGGUCUUCCACGACUUCUGUGCCGUAGCUAACGCAUUAAGCGCCCGGCCUGGGGAGUACGGCCGCAAGGCUAAAACUCAAAGGAAUUGGCGGGG
rnacentral:rRNA from 1 species